CUUGGUUUGUUCUAAUGGGUGGAUUGUGUGCAAUCGCUGUAAUAUUUUAUUUUUAUAAGGUCUUAAACAAGAAUAAAUUCGUUUCUUGUGAGCUCGUAGUGCGAGUGCAGGAGAAGCCGCGCCGUCUCGCGCUGUCAAAAGAGCUGACGCAAAUCGUUCAUUUUCAAACUUCAACAGCUGAAAAACACCCACUUUUAGCUCUUGGUUUGUUCUAAUGGGUGGAUUGUGUGCAAUCGCUGUAAUAUUUUAUUUUUAUAAGGUCUUAAACAAGAAUAAAUUCGUUUCUUGCGAGCUCGUUGUGUCAUUGCACGAGAAGCCGCGCCGUCUCGCGCUGUCAAAAGAGCUGACGCAAAUCGUUCAUUUUCAAACUUCAACCAUUCAAAAACACCCUCUUUUAGCUCUUGGUUUGUUCUAAUGGGUGGAUUGUGUGCAAUCGCUGUAAUAUUUUAUUUUUAAAAGGUCUUGAACAAGAAUAAAUUCGUUUGUUGUGAGCCCGUUGUAAGACCACUCGCUGAACGGAGCGGUGAAUUCUCUCUCGUCUUUCUCUCUCUUCUGUGGCCAGAUAUACAUUUUUAAUAAGCCCUGACCCCUGUAAUAUUCAAAUAUGUUGGUUUAGCUUGUCAGAGUGAAAUAAAUUCAUGUAUUUAUAUGUAUUUUUAACCGAUUUAAAAGUGAAACUAAGGCAGACUCCUCCCUCAGUCCCGGGAAUUGCUCCUGUAGAGGCGCAAUUUUUCUCAGAUAAUGGGAGUCUAUGGGAGAUUUCUGACUUUU
ensembl:lncRNA